rnacentral:rRNA from 1 species
GAUGAACGCUGGCGGCGUGCCUAAUACAUGCAAGUCGAGCGAACGGACGAGAAGCUUGCUUCUCUGAUGUUAGCGGCGGACGGGUGAGUAACACGUGGAUAACCUACCUAUAAGACUGGGAUAACUUCGGGAAACCGUAGCUAAUACCGGAUAAUAUUUUGAACCGCAUGGUUCAAAAGUGAAAGACGGUCUUGCUGUCACUUAUAGAUGGAUCCGCGCUGCAUUAGCUAGUUGGUAAGGUAACGGCUUACCAAGGCAACGAUGCAUAGCCGACCUGAGAGGGUGAUCGGCCACACUGGAACUGAGACACGGUCAAGACUCCUACGGGAGGCAGCAGUAGGGAAUCUUCCGCAAUGGGCGAAAGCCUGACGGAGCAACGCCGCGUGAGUGAUGAAGGUCUUCAGAUCGUAAAACUCUGUUAUUAGGGAAGAACAUAUGUGUAAGUAACUGUGCACAUCUUGACGGUACCUAAUCAGAAAGCCACGGCUAACUACGUG